rnacentral:rRNA from 1 species
UAAGACAGAGGUGCCGAGCGUUAGGCGGAAUCACUGGGCUUAAAGCGUGUGUAGGCGGAUCGUUAAGUACCUUGUGAAAUCCCACGGCUCAACCGUGGAACGGCUGGGUAUACUGGCGAUCUUGGGCCACUCAGGGGCGAGCGGAACAAGUGGUGGAGCGGUGAAAUGCGUAGAUAUCACUUGGAACGCCGACGGUGAAAACAGCUCGCUGGGAGUGUGCCGACGCUGAGACACGAAAGCCAGGGGAGCGAACGGGAUUAGAUACCCCGGUAGUCCUGGCCCUAAACGAUGUCCACUAGAUCAUGGCGGCUCUGACGUCGUCAUGGUCGAAGCAAAAGUGAUAAGUGGACCGCCUGGGAAGUACGGUCGCAAGGCUA